CCUACGGGUGGCAGCAGUGAGGAAUAUUGGUCAAUGGACGAGAGUCUGAACCAGCCAAGUAGCGUGAAGGAUGACUGCCCUAUGGGUUGUAAAUUUCUUUUAUAUGGGAAUAAAAUGUUCCAUGUGUGGGAUUUUGUAUGUACCAUAUGAAUAAGGAUCGGCAAACUCCGUGCCAGCAGCGGCGGUAAUACGGAGGAUCCGAGCGUUACCUGGAUUUAUUGGGUUAAACGGGAGCGUAGGUGGAUUGUUAAGUCAGUUGUGAAAGUUUGUGGCUAAACCGGAAAAUUGAGUUGAAACUGGCAGUCUUGAGUACAGUAGAGGUGGGCGGAAUUCGUGGUGUAGCGGUGAAAUGCUUAGAUAUCACGAAGAACUCCGAUUGCGAAGGCAGCUCACUGGACUGCAACCGACGCUGAGGCUCGAAAGUGUGGGUAUCAAACAGGAUUAGAUACCCUUGUAGUC
rnacentral:rRNA from 1 species